rnacentral:rRNA from 1 species
UACGUAGGUGGCAAGCGUUGUCCGGAUUUACUGGGCGUAAAGAGCGCGCAGGCGGUCGUUCAAGUCGCGUGUGAAAGCCCCCGGCUCAACUGGGGAGGGUCACGCGAUACUGAUCGACUGGAAGGCAGGAGAGGGUAGUGGAAUUCCCGGUGUAGUGGUGAAAUGCGUAGAUAUCGGGAGGAACACCUAUGGCGAAGGCAGCUCGCUGGGACGUUACUGACGCUGAGACGCGAAAGCGUGGGGAGCAAACAGG